UUAAGUAACAAAGAUAUGAAUAAAGGAAAAUAUUUACCCGAUCUUCAGUAAGACGGAUCUUCUUUCAUUUAAUAAAGAUGAAUGAUAGACAAAUACAAGAACUGUAUGACCCUUUUUGGAUCUGAUAAAGGCAUGAAAUCAAUAAUCUUUUCCAUUCUUUGCCUUUGGGGAGGUUUGUUUACGUAUUUCUUAGAAAAAGGGAGAGACAGGAAGAGCCAGCCCCCUUUUUGGGAAGUCCUCCCCUCCAAUUUAUAUGGGGGUUAUCUAUAAAAAAUCUCUAAAAAAGGUAAAAUUAGAGGGAAUAUUCAGUAGAGUAUUCCCUUUAAGGAUUCCAAAGUGAACUAGUCAUUUCACUAUUCGACCUCGGCCUUAUUGAUGAUGGUCCGACCUCAGCCUGUCCAAUCUCGGCUAUUGAUGACGGUCCGACCUUGGCUAUUGAUGACAGUCCGACCUUGGCCUGUCCGACCACGACCUUAUGUCUCCGCGUGCCGAAUUUCUCUGAUACAAUUUUGACCCAUACAGGUAUAACAAUUACAUAAAUACGCAAUAAAUAAUAUUGUUAUUAGAGAGAGUUGAUCAUACUCCAAAUGAUUACCUCCGCAUAGCCUCCAAUGUUUGGAUGGUCCUCUUAGACGGGCCAUUAGUAUGAGGAUGGAAGAUUGUGCUAAGACUCGCUCUGCUACCCAAAGCCUUUUGUAGGCUUUGCCAUAAGGCUGAAGUGAACCGUGGCCUCUUCCUCGUCUAAUCAUUAUACUUGCAGCAAGAAAGGGGCUUUGGAAAGAUAGUUCGCCAAGUCUUUAUAUUUGAACUCAAGUGGACACUUCUCAGCCCGAGGACAAUCUCUUAAAUACACAUGAUGAUGUUGUUGAUUCGCUUUUCUUUUCUUUGUAUUCUGGUGCUAUCAAUAUCUACCCAAUUAACUAAAAAUAUAAUUGACCGGGACAUCUUUAGUAGUAAGCGUUUACCCUCUAAAAUGAGAGUUUCAGGCGACAAUGUGAACUAGUCAGCCUCGGGUACGGAAUAAUAGGUAGAAAAUCAG
rnacentral:lncRNA from 1 species